AAGUUUGCAGAUUAUUGUCUGGGUCAGUAGUCUAUCAUUCCAUGCAUAUGCAGAUAUCACUUAUGAGAGUUCAUCUGAUAGAGGGAAAGGCAUAACAGACCUAAAACCUGCACUUCAGAAUAUGUUUGCUGAAAAUCUAGUUGAGAAAAAGGAUGAUUAUCUUCAAACUUUCUUGACAGAGAAGGACUACAUUAGGU